AUAUUUCUUGAACGGCAUCAAGGUUUUGUGACCGUUGUUACGGUCAUUUCAACAUGUAACUGACCGUAAUCCCGUUCACAACACAUUGUUUGUCGAUUCGUCAUGAAAU
rnacentral:pre_miRNA from 13 species